rnacentral:rRNA from 1 species
CAGCAGCCGCGGUAAUACAGAGGGUGCGAGCGUUAAUCGGAUUUACUGGGCGUAAAGCGCACGCAGGCGGUCUGUCAAGUCAGAUGUGAAAUCCCCGGGCUUAACCUGGGAACUGCAUUUGAAACUGGCAGGCUAGAGUCUUGUAGAGGGGGGUAGAAUUCCAGGUGUAGCGGUGAAAUGCGUAGAGAUCUGGAGGAAUACCGGUGGCGAAGGCGGCCCCCUGGACAAAGACUGACGCUCAGGUGCGAAAGCGUGGGGAGCAAACAGGAUUAGAUACCCCUGUAGUCCCUGUCUCUUAUAA